rnacentral:lncRNA from 13 species
CUUCUCUCAUCCCCAGCCCCGCCCCCACACCUGCCCCUACUCCUAAGCCUGCCGCGCUCCAAACCCGCCCCUAACUCCAGCCCUCCCGGGUCCCGCAGCCGCCCCGCCCCCGCAGCCGCGCAGCCCCCAAGAGGGCUCCGAGCUGGUCCCGGGAGCUGCAGCGCCGCUCGCCAGCGCCAGGGGGCGGCCUUGUCCUUCUCGCGGCGACCGGACCCCCGCGUGCUGGGGGAGGAGAGACCGCCCGACAACCCUGUGCCCCUUCCCUUCCUCCUGAAGCUGGGAGAGCCGGGAGCGGGCUUUUCUCGCAAGAGCACAGGGCCUUAGGGCCGAAGCUUGGUUACAGCCUGGUCAUCUCCCCACCUCCCCGCCGGCAGCAGCUUCACCACCACCCUCCAGAGUCCCUAGCCGCCCAACUCAGCAACUCAGGCAUAAGACAGUCACUAGCUGGGUGAAUGGCUCUUCCAGACACAGAGACAGCUUCAGACAGGAGACAGGUUGGCAGGCCAGCGAUGGUCGAUGAUGCCAUGGGGUUUCUGGAAAGAGCUCUUGUUAGCUCUAGUGGACAGGGAGGGACAGUUCAGAAAGGAGUUUGACCCAUAAAAGCAUUGUGUGAUCAUGGUCUGAGUGUGGCUCGCAUCCGUAAUCCCAGCCCUUUGGGAAGCCAAGGCGUGAGGAUUACUUGAAGCCAGGAGUUUGAGACCAGCUGGGCAACAUGGCAAGACCCCUGUCUCUACAUGGUGGUGUGUCUUAGCUUCUCGGAAGGCUGAGGCGGGAGGAUCACUGAUGCCCAGGAGGUAGAGGCUGCAGCAGGCCUUGAUCAGCCCCUGCACACUGCACUCCAGCACGGGCAACAGAGUGAGACUUUGCCUCAAAAACAGAAAAACUAGCCGGGCGCGGUGGCUCACGCCUGUAAUCCCAGCACUUUGGGAGGCCGAGGCGGGUGGAUCACGAGGUGAAGAGGUCGAGACCCUCCUGGUCAACAUGGUGAAACCCCGUCUCUACUAAAAAUACAAAAAAAAUUAGCUGGGCAUGGUGGCGUGUGCCUGUAAUCCCAGCUACUCGUGAGGCUGAGGCAGGAGAGUUGCCUGAACCCAGGAGGCGGAGGUUGCAGUGAGCUGAGAUCGCGCCAUUGCACUCCAGCCUGGGUAACAAGAGCGAAACUCCGUCUCAAAAAAAGAAAGAAAGAAAAACUAAACAUUAUGUACAAAUAAACUGUUUUUUUCUUUUUUAGUUGGAGUCA